GAGGGGUAUAUGGAGCUUGCUCCAUAGAGACCGGCAAACGGGUGCGGAACACGUACACAACCUGCCUCUGUCUUGGGGAUAGCCCAUAGAAAUGUGGAUUAAUACCCAAUGGUAUAUUUUGGUGGCAUCACUAAGAUAUUAAAGAACUUCGGACAGAGAUGGGUGUGCGUAAGAUUAGGUAGUUGGUAGGGUAACGGCCUACCAAGCCCACGAUCUUUAGCUGAUGUGAGAGCAUGAUCAGCCACACGGGCACUGAGACACGGGCCCGACUCCUACGGGAGGCAGCAGUG
rnacentral:rRNA from 1 species